UAGAGAAGGAGGCUGCCUCUGUUCCCUCCUAAACCCUGGGGAUUAUUUUGCCCCAUAACUGUGGGCUUGUCCAAGCUAAAGAUCCAGCCAUUGAGCAGGCCUUCUGUCUCUAGGUGGAUUAUGGCAGACUUAUGGUUUUGUUGCACCUGAAAGUAUCUUGGGCACAGGCCUGACAAUGGGCUCAGGGUUCAUAGUGCGAAUGGGUGAGGAUGUGGUAUCAGCUCACUCAGGGAAGGGGUGUAUUUCCGCCGCAGGCAGUAAUAGAGGGGGAAAGUCAGGAACAGGUGACUCUUGAUUCGAUUCACUCGAAGCUUAGCAACUCAACUGAAGAUGUGUCCUGGGGACUAGUAUGACCUGGCAAUAGCUGAUCUACAUAUCACCAGGUGAGAUCCUCGGUAGUCCGGACAAUGUAGGAAACAGGUCCUGUUUGAGCGAUGACAGUGGCAGGGACCCAUUUAGCUCCAGAAGCAUAAUUCCGAGUCAAAACCAGCUGUCGUGGGCUAAAGGUUUGGUCUUUUGCUCUGGGUGCAUGCCUGAUGACUUGAUCUUGUUGCUGAUGUUGCACAAUUUGUCGGGUUUCAGCAGAUCAAAGUAAGUGCACAGCUGUCGUCCCAUCAUUAGAAAGGCUGGGGAUGCCUUGGCCAUAGCGUGAGGUGUGUUUCUGUAGGAAAGUAAGAUGUCCAGAUGCUUUUGAAUGGAUAAUUGUCCCAUUGCCAAUUUCAAAGCUUGUUUCAUUUUCUGCACAAAUCAUAAUGCAUUGGUGGAUGGAUGAUAUGGUGCUGAAGUGAUGUAUCUCAUUUGCUUUCAUAAAAUUUCGGAACUCCUGAGAGAUGAACUGUGGUCCGUUGUCGCUCACAAGUUGUUCUGGAAGACCGAAAUGACACAAUAUCAACUGCAAUAUUAACUGUCUUCUGUAAGACAAAGCUUGAUCCUGCUGCCACUGAUUUCAAAGCCACAGCAUCAGGAAUAAAGCAAAGACAUUCAGAAGGAACAGGAACUCUGUAAAGCUGAGAGAUUUCCCUGUGUUCAGGUGCUAUCUCAUUGAUAAUUCUGCUACCUUCAGAGUUUAGAGGAAUAAGCCACUGUUUUGUCCAUCCUCUUUGUUAAGGAUAAAGGCCCAGGCAGGGACAUGCACAUCCAGGAAAUGAAUGCAUGGCUUCAUGGAUUAUAUUGAUUGGAGGACUUUGGCUUUGUUGACCAAGGGAUGCUGUUCCAGGAAGAAAGUCUGUUAGCAAGAGAUGGGGUUCACCUGACCAAAAGAGGUCAAAAUCCAAAUGCAGCUUAGAUAUAAAGCAGCAAAGAAUCCUGUGGCACCUUAUAGACUAACAGACGUUUUGCAGCAUGAGCUUUCGUUGGUGAAUACCCACUUCUUCAGAUGCAAGAUAUAAAGUCUGCUAAAGUCUUUCUAUACAUUGUCCCGGCUAUUCCAAAUGACUGUUUGGAAGAUCGCAGUCUCACAGCUUAAACUUUCCCUGUUCAAAGUUCAGCAGACUGGAGAUGAAAGGAUCAGGACCAGGGUUUCUCUUUUAUAGCUC